rnacentral:tRNA from 1 species
GGCAGUGGCUCAAUGGUAGAGCGCUCACUUAGCACAUGCGAGGGCCUGGGUUCGAUCCUCAGCAUCA